rnacentral:lncRNA from 10 species
AGGAGGACGCCAGGACUGCGUCCCGGAGCCAAGUGCGGGAGGCGCGCAGGGCCGGCGGCGCGCGGAAUCCCCUCUGAGCAGCUGGGAGCUCAGAAGCUCUGUCCAACCCUGAGGAGUGGGUCAGCCACAAGAGCAAGAAGUGAUGGCGUGGAGUCCACCCAGGGCCUGAGGCAUGAGCAGAAUCCACGCCCAUUAGACCUGGAGCCUGGGCGUUUGGGGCUGCACUGCUGGGGAGAUCCAAGAAGAAUCAAUGCUUUGGCCCCUGGUGACAUGUACAUGGUGUAAUGACAGAAAUGAGCAGAUUUGCAGAAAAACUGGUGUCCUGAAAUUUAAAACUAAGGCAUCGGUGCUUCUUUGCUUGUUUGCUUGUUGCAAGCGCCCCGGGGAGACACUGUGAAGCUUGGCCUCCUGCCCCUGUGUCUGUCUGUUGAGUCGCAGGAAGCUGGCGGCCCUCCUUCAGGAGUGGGACAUGGGAAGGAGGCUGCAGAUCGACCUGGGAAAGGCUCUGGCUGAGAACAUGGCCAAUGACAUUGAUGAGCUCAUUGGCAUUCCCUUCCCCAACCACAGCAGUGAGGUCCUGUGCAGCCUCAA